ensembl:lncRNA
UUUAAAUUCAAAUUGCAUUUGCGAGGGAGUCCCACCAGCGACAGCAUGUGUCCCGCGUACCGUGAGUUGCUGAAUUUGCUCAUCCACAGAAAAUUCAUCAUUCAAUCGGAACAUGUGGUGGAAAGGCCCACCUGUGAGGUGAGGUGCCACCAGUGUUUAGGCUGAAGAAAAGGAAGGUGGAUGACAUAACUGAGGUCAGAUUUAAAUUUUGAGAGUUUUUCUUUUGUUUCAGGUCAGAAACCAGCAUUUCCAUUUCCCUAUUUUUUUUACCAAUAUUUUUUCCAAUUGUGGGGUCGCUUUAAAUAAUAUGCCAUUCACAAGUUAAGGUCAGACCUGCUGUCUGCAGUUUAAAAAUAAAGUGUCUAAGUAAUGCAUGAUUGGAAAAUUAAUAUGGUGAGCUCUCUAAUAUGUAUAGGUGGACAUAUUAGAGGAGGGCACUGAUGUGAUAUUUUCUUUUUCUUCUUUUUGGAGCUUGUGUUUUGAAUAUUACAACUGAUCAUUUUGCUUAUCGAUAUAUUUUCAGGAAGAAGAGCAGCAGGCUGAGGUCUCAGUCAGACCUGACAACGUUGCCUAGGAUUGUCCUGUCUCCCAAUUAGGACUGGUCCGCCUGUCUCCCAAUGAGGACUGAUGAAGGGGGGCGGAGUGGCCUUGUUGGUGGCCUAUGUGGUGCGCCCUGUUCCAGCAGUCCAGCCCCUUCCUUGUUGGCACCUCCACCUGCUUGCCACGCUGCAGUUGUUUGAUCUCUUUUUGUUAUGGGUUAUCAAAUGACCUUGAUCAUUGUUAAACUAGAAUCACGCCUCCGUCCUCCCUCAUUGUCUGGUUACCCUAGGCCAUGACAAUGUAGACACACCAGUUAGUGCAGCAGCUAUGGUACAAACAUCUUUCUGUCUUCUCCAUAGGACUCGGUUGAAGAUCGCAUUCUUCGGGAUUGCAGACAUGCAGCAGAGUGGGUUGAGGCCAACCAUCAACUGUUCGCUGCCAAAGUGGACCUGCCUUAUGUUUUGUCCAUAGGGGAGGAGAACCAGGCUGAGGCUGCUCUGCAUUAUGGGAGGUUGUGGAAAGAAAAAGUCGAAGAUGAUGAAAAGGAAUCAAUCAUGAAGCCCUUCAUGUUUACAUUUUACAGCACUAAUGACAUGUGGAAAUUCUCUGAGGAAAUAAUGGACAAAAGACAGAAUUUGGCCUAUUGUGAAUGUCACACAGAUGACGUGAGUUAUGUUCAAGAGUAAAGGGCCACAGAACAUUUCAUCAUGUUGUGUUUUUUUCGUUCUAAUUGAUCACUUAAUUAUUCACUUGGAUUAUACUCUAGAUAUCAAGAGUUAGGGUUGUAUCUAUUGGUACUUAGGUGUUCCAGAAGCACAAACUAAAUUAGCAAAGACAUAGAACCACCAUACACUUGUGCAUGUUUCCACAAGUGAACGACUUCAUGCCUGUCUACAUUUCAAAGUCGUGCAUUUUGCAGAAAAUGUGUAACAUCGGAAUCCGGGGUAACAGCCGUUGCUGCGUUGGACAGGGCUAAAACCUGCUUUGCACAUGCUUUAUAUGCUUUCCCGCAUUAGAGUGACAGUUAUCCAACAAGUGUCGCUCUUAUUCUCGCUCGCUCUCCUUGUUUGACCGUGAUCUAGCAUCUAGGAUCGAUUGCUCUUCCUUGGGUCCCUGGAUGUGAACACUGAAUUUCAUGAUGGACCAAUAAGAAUUGAAUUGAAUUUUGCAUCCGAGUUUGGCUUGUUGAAUUUUUUACGUAAAAUAGAUUUUGAAUUUGUUAAAUUUGUUAAAUUCAGAGGCAAACAAUUCUGACACGUUAUUUCAAUGCAGAAAUAUUAUUAAUUUUCA